UUUCAGUUACAUCAUUGUCUAUAAAUACUCAUUGUAAUCAUCAUUUACAGCAUAUAUGAAAAUUGCAACUCUUCCUCCUAAAAUUCUAUUUUCUCUGUUUCUUCUCACCUUCUAAUUUCUCUUGAUUGCAUCCUCGAAUCUUUGAGAUUCCUGAAAUCGAGUAACAAUCCCACAGAGAUAAAGACCCUAAAAAACAACAAAAACAAACCCGCAUAGAAUAAGAAGAUAAAUAUCAAAAUAAAUUCAAAUUUCAAGAAUAUGGGGAAACCUCUCUAACCCACUUUGGGGCGUUGUUAUCAAGACCCUCAGUGAACAUCUGCUACUCAAAUCGCUUGUAUAAUUAAGGAAAGAAAACAUAAACAUUAACAAGAAAAACACAAUGCAUCACCUUAACUAAACGCAAAACAAUAAAAUACCCAGAAUGUAAGAAAAUGUUGCAGUAGAAAUCGAGGAAGAACAGUAGUGUUAAACAAGAAAGUAAUGAAUACCUAGAAGAAGAAGCAAAGAUUUAUCACUCUGUUCAAACGGGGAGGAGUAGAAACUACAAGUGGUGAGGGAGGAGAGGUGUGAGGUUGGAGAAAAAACAAAUCGAAGUCGAACGUUGG
rnacentral:lncRNA from 1 species